AGCUUCAUUUGUAAUUGCGUUUACAUGUGACUAUUAUAUUGCUUAGCGGAAAAUAUUUGGAGGCAAGUUCGUUUUUUUUUCUUUUUCUGUUUUUUGAGGUCCUGCCUUAUUUCUUGUUUCCUUAAUGUUGUGGACCUUGGCUGACUUCACCAUUCUAAAUACCUUUUAAAAUCAGGUACUACUCCUAGUACUAUUACAAACAAAGAAUGGGAAGCAGAGACAGCUGACAAAAAGUUCCAGGCAUGGACUCGUACUGCUGGUUUUGAUUCAGCUGAUCAUUUGUUUCUUUCUUUUUCUCCCUCCAUGUAGUGUUACAUGUAUGAACUGUUCAACUGCAGGCGCGGUAACUGGAGCUAUAACUACUCCCCUUGAUGAACAUUUUCUUGGUGAACAUAGUAGUAAUUUAUAUUGAAAAGUAAAUUUGAGAUGUAUAUAUGGAUAUUUUGGUAUAUAUUUUAUGGAUAUAGUAAUUUGAAACUGUAAACGAAUAGUAAUUUUGGGAUGUAUUUUGAAUGGUUGCCAUAUUUUGGCUUAAAUUUAAAUGAG
rnacentral:lncRNA from 1 species